CCCUUAGACGUUCUGGGCCGCACGCGCGCUACACUGACCAGUGCAACAAGCAUCCGUCCUUGGCCGACAGGCCCGGGCAAUCUUUGAACGCUGGUCGUGAUGGGGAUAGACUUUUGCAAUUUUUGGUCUUCAACGAGGAAUUCCUAGUAAACGCAAGUCAUCAACUUGCAUUGAUUACGUCCCUGCCCUUUGUACACACCGCCCGUCGCGCCUACCGAUUGAAUGGUCCGGUGAAGCCUCCGGAUUGGCGCGCACCUCGGUGCCGCCGAGAAGUUGGCUAAACCUUACCAUUUAGAGGAAGGUGAAGUCGUANCA
rnacentral:rRNA from 1 species